rnacentral:rRNA from 1 species
AUUGAACGCUGGCGGCAGGCCUAACACAUGCAAGUCGAGCGGAUGAAGGGUGCUUGCUCCUGGAUUCAGCGGCGGACUGGUGAGUAAUGCCUAGGAAUCUGCCUGGUUGUUGGGGCUAACGUCCGGAAACGGGCGCUAAUACCGCAUACGUCCUUAGGGAGUAAGUGGGGGAUCUUCGGACCUCACGCUCUCAGAUGAGCCUAGGUCGGAUUAGCUAGUUGGUGGGGUAAAGGCCUACCAAGGCGACGAUCCGUAACUGGUCUGAGAGGAUGAUCAGUCACACUGGAACUGAGACACGGUCCAGACUCCUACGGGAGGCAGCAGUGGGGAAUAUUGGACAAUGGGCGAAAGCCUGAUCCAGCCAUGCCGCGUGUGUGAAGAAGGUCUUCGGAUUGUAAAGCACUUUAAGUGGGGAGGAAGGGCAGUAAGUUAAUACCUUGCUGUUUUGACGUUACCAAAAGAAUAAGCACCGGCUAACUUCGUG